rnacentral:rRNA from 1 species
CAGCCGCCGCGGGAAUACGGAGGGUGCAAGCGUUAAUCGGAAUUACUGGGCGUAAAGCGCACGCAGGCGGUCUGUCAAGUCAGAUGUGAAAUCCCCGGGCUUAACCUGGGAACUGCAUUUGAAACUGGCAGGCUAGAGUCUUGUAGAGGGGGGUAGAAUUCCAGGUGUAGCGGUGAAAUGCGUAGAGAUCUGGAGGAAUACCGGUGGCGAAGGCGGCCCCCUGGACAAAGACUGACGCUCAGGUGCGAAAGCGUGGGGAGCAAACAGGAUUAGAUACCCCAGUAGUCCCUGUCUCUUAUAA